GACCCGGUUUCGGGGACCUUGGUACAGGCAGGCCGGGGAUUCCCCUCUUUACACCGGGCUCACACCGCAGCCGCGACGAGCCCAGCCGUUUUGGGGCCCUUGAUACAGGCAGGUCAGGGGUUCCUUCUUUACACCAGGCUCACACCGCACUCGCGACGAGCCUCCCGUUUCGGGAACCUUGGUACAGGCAGGCCGGGGAUUCCCUCUUUUAUUGCUCCCGG
rnacentral:ncRNA from 1 species